rfam:Canis lupus familiaris chromosome 19, whole genome shotgun sequence.
AGCUUUGCGUAGUGGCAGUGUCAUAGCCAAUGAGGUUUAUCCGAGGCGUGAUUAUUGCUAAUUGAAAACUUUUCCUAAUUUCCACUUAAGACAACAUGCCAAAUAAAAGUGGUGAUUAAAAGAAUAAGUUGAACUUGACAAAUACUAAAAAUUAUCCUUCAA